rnacentral:rRNA from 1 species
UUAUCCGGAUUUAUUGGGUGUAAAGGGUGCGUAGGCGGUUUGAUAAGUUAGAGGUGAAAUCCCGGGGCUUAACUCCGGAACUGCCUCUAAUACUGUUAAACUAGAGAGUAGUAGCGGUAGGCGGAAUGUAUGGUGUAGCGGUGAAAUGCUUAGAGAUCAUACAGAACACCGAUUGCGAAGGCAGCUUACCAAACUAUAUCUGACGUUGAGGCACGAAAGCGUGGGGAGCAAACAGGAUUAGAUACCCUGGUAGUCCACGCAGUAAACGAUGAUAACUCGUUGUCGGCGAUACACAGUCGGCGACUAAGCGAAAGCGAUAAGUUAUCCACCUGGGGAGUACGUUCGCAAGAAUGAAACUCAAAGGAAUUGACGGGGGCCCGCACAAGCGGAGGAACAUGUGGUUUAAUUC